AGAGUUUGAUCAUGGCUCAGGAUGAACGCUGGCGGCGUGCUUAACACAUGCAAGUCGAACGAACCUUCGGGUUAGUGGCGGACGGGUGAGUAACGCGUGAGAAUCUGCCCUCAGGAGGGGGAUAACGGUUGGAAACGACCGCUAAUACCCCAUAUGCCUACUGGUGAAAUGAAUUUCGCCUGAGGAUGAGCUCGCGUCUGAUUAGCUUGUUGGUGAGGUAAUGGCUCACCAAGGCUUCGAUCAGUAGCUGGUCUGAGAGGAUGAUCAGCCACACUGGGACUGAGACACGGCCCAGACUCCUACGGGAGGCAGCAGUGGGGAAUUUUCCGCAAUGGGCGAAAGCCUGACGGAGCAACGCCGCGUGAGGGACGAAGGCCUCUGGGCUGUAAACCUCUUUUCUCAAGGAAGAAGAUAUGACGGUACUUGAGGAAUAAGCCACGGCUAAUUCCGUGCCAGCAGCCGCGGUAAUACGGGAGUGGCAAGCGUUAUCCGGAAUUAUUGGGCGUAAAGCGUCCGCAGGCGGCUUUUCAAGUCUGCUGUUAAAGCGUGGAGCUUAACUCCAUCAUGGCAGUGGAAACUGAUAGGCUUGAGUAUGGUAGGGGCAGAGGGAAUUCCCGGUGUAGCGGUGAAAUGCGUAGAUAUCGGGAAGAACACCAGUGGCGAAGGCGCUCUGCUGGGCCAUUACUGACGCUCAUGGACGAAAG
rnacentral:rRNA from 1 species